AUACGGAGGGUGCAAGCGUUACUCGGAAUCACCGGGCGUAAAGGACGCGUAGGCGGGUUGGCAAGUCAGAUGUGAAAUCCUACAGCUUAACUGUAGAACUGCAUUUGAAACUGCUAACCUAGAGUAUGGGAGGGGGAGAUGGAAUUAGUGGUGUAGGGGUAAAAUCCGUAGAUAUCACUAGGAAUACCGAAAGCGAAGGCGAUCUCCUGGAACAUAACUGACGCUAAGGCGUGAAAGCGUGGGGAGCAAACAGGAUUAGAAACCCGAGUAGUCC
rnacentral:rRNA from 1 species